GUGCCAGCCGCCGCGGUAAUACCAGCUCUCCGAGUGGUGGGGACGUUUAUUGGGCCUGAAGCAUCCGUAGCCAGCUGAGCAAGUCCCCAGUUAAAUCCAGCGAUUUAAUCGUUGGACUGCUGGGGAUACUGUCCGGCUUGGGGGUGGGAGAGGCCGACGGUAUUCCCGGGGUAGGGGUGAAAUCCUAUAAUCCCGGGAGGACCACCAGUGGCGAAGGCUGUUGGCUAAAACAUGCCCGACGGUGAGGGAUGAAAGCUGGGGGAGCGAACCGGAUUAGAUACCCGGGUAGUCCCAGCUGUAAACGAUGCAGGCUAGGUGUUAGGGCGGCCACGUGCCGCUCUAGUGCCGCAGGGAAGCUGUUAAGCCUGCCGCCUGGGGAGUACGGCCGCAAGGCUGAAACUCAAAUGAAUUGACGGGG
rnacentral:rRNA from 1 species